rnacentral:misc_RNA from 1 species
GAUGAAGAACGUAGCGAAAUGCGAUACGUAAUGUGAAUUGCAGAAUUCAGUGAAUCAUCGAGUCUUUGAACGCACAUUGCGCCCCCUGGUAUUCCGGGGGGCAUGCCUGUCCGAGCGUCAUUGCUGCCCUCAAGCACGGCUUGUGUGUUGGGCCCCCGCCCCCCGGUUCCCGGGGGGCGGGCCCGAAAGGCAGCGGCGGCACCGCGUCCGGUCCUCGAGCGUAUGGGGCUUCGUCACCCGCUCCGUAGGCCCGGCCGGCGCCCGCCGGCGACCCCCCUCAAUCUUUCCAGGUUGACCUCGGAUCAGGUAGGGAUACCCGCUGAACUUAAGCAUAUCAAUAAGCGGAGGA